rnacentral:rRNA from 1 species
UACGUAGGUGGCAAGCGUUACUCGGAAUCACUAGGCGUAAAGCGCAGGUAGGCGGUUUGGUAAGUCUAUUGUGAAAGCUCCCGGCUUAACUGGGAGAGGUCAAUGGAAACUACCAGGCUGGAGUGCGGUAGAGGUAGCUGGAAUUCCCGGUGUAGCGGUGAAAUGCGUAGAUAUCGGGAGGAAUACCUGUGGCGAAAGCAGGCUACUGGACCGUCACUGACGCUGAUCUGCGAAAGCUAGGGGAGCAAACAGG